rnacentral:rRNA from 1 species
UACAGAGGUCCCAAGCGUUGUUCGGAUUCACUGGGCGUAAAGGGUGCGUAGGCGGUCGGGGUAAGUCUGAUGUGAAAUCUCACAGCUUAACUGUGAAACUGCAUUGGAUACUAUUCGGCUUGAGAGUUGGAGGGGGACUGGAAUUCUUGGUGUAGCAGUGAAAUGCGUUAGAUAUCAAGAGGAACACCAGUGGCGAAGGCGAGUCCCUGGACAACUUCUGACGUGAGGCACGAAAGCUAGGGGAGCAAACGG